rnacentral:misc_RNA from 1 species
AAAAAAAAAAAAAAAAACUACAAGGAAACAAAUAAAACGCAUAAUGAAUAAACCACCAAAAGUAUUAAUAGAGCUAUUGAAAUUAAACGAAUGUUUAAGGAGCUAACCGAAACCCAGAAGAAAAUAGUCCAAUUUAAGGUUACCCAAAAAAAAAACCUCAAUAAGUAUCCGCAUCAUAUCAACAAUUAAACACCUAAACUUCAGUAAAAAGAAAUCAAAAGGAUCAUUUUAUAGAAAUAAUCCG